AUUUUCGAUGACCCUGGCGGCGUGUUUAACACAUGCACGUCGAACGAGAACGGGAUUAGCUUGCUAAUCUGUCAGCUAAGUGGCGCACGGGUGAGUAAUAUAUAGGUAACGUGCCUUCAAGAGGGGGAUAACAGAUGGAAACGUCUGCUAAAACCCCAUAUGCCUUUAAUGCGAAAGUAUGCAAGGGAAAUAUUUAUAGCUUGAAGAUCGGCCUGUACAGUAUCAGAUAGUUGGUGAGGUAAUAGCUCACCAAGUCAAUGACGCUUAACUGGUUUGAGAGGAUGAUCAGUCACACUGGAACUGAGACACGGUCCAGACUCCUACGGGAGGCAGCAGUGGGGAAUAUUGCACAAUGGGGGAAACCCUGAUGCAGCAACGCCGCGUGGAGGAUGACACAUUUCGGUGCGUAAACUCCUUUUAUAUAAGAAGAUAAUGACGGUAUUAUAUGAAUAAGCACCGGCUAACUCCGUGCCAGCAGCCGCGGUAAUACGGAGGGUGCAAGCGUUACUCGGAAUCACUGGGCGUAAAGAGCGUGUAGGCGGAUAGAUAAGUCAGAAGUGAAAUCCAAUAGCUUAACUAUUGAACUGCUUUUGAAACUGUCUAUCUAGAGUAUGGGAGAGGUAGAUGGAAUUUCUGGUGUAGGGGUAAAA
rnacentral:rRNA from 1 species